GAUGAACGCUGGCGGCGUGCCUAAUACAUGCAAGUCGAGCGAACGGACGUGAAGCUUGCUUCUCUGAUGUUAGCGGCGGACGGGUGAGUAACACGUGGAUAACCUACCUAUAAGACUGGGAUAACUUCGGGAAACCUGAGCUAAUACCGGAUAAUAUUUUGAACCGCAUGGUUCAAAAGUGAAAGACGGUCUGCUGUCACUUAUAGAUGGAUCCGCGCUGCAUUAGCUAGUUGGUAAGGUAACGGCUUACCAAGGCAACGAUGCAUAGCCGACCUGAGAGGGUGAUCGGCCACACUGGAACUGAGACACGGUCCAGACUCCUACGGGAGGCAGCGGUAGGGAAUCUUCCGCAAUGGGCGAAAGCCUGACGGAGCAACGCCGCGUGAGUGAUGAAGGUCUUCGGAUCGUAAAACUCUGUUAUUAGGGAAGAACAUAUGUGUAAGUAACUGUGCACAUCUUGACGGUACCUAAUCAGAAAGCCACGGCUAACUACGUG
rnacentral:rRNA from 1 species